AACGAACGCUGGCGGCGUGCCUAACACAUGCAAGUCGAACGGGAUUCGGAGCUUGCUCCGAUGAGAGUGGCGCACGGGUGAGUAACGCGUAGAUAAUCUGCCUGAUGAUCUGGGAUAACAGUUCGAAAGGACUGCUAAUACCGGAUAAGCCCACGGAGACCAUGGUCUUUGCGGGAAAUGGGGGGGACCUGCGGGCCUUCCGUCAUCAGAUGAGUCUGCGUACCAUUAGCUAGUUGGUAGGGUAAAGGCCUACCAAGGCGACGAUGGUUAGGUGGUCUGAGAGGAUGAUCAGCCACACUGGAACUGAGACACGGUCCAGACUCCUACGGGAGGCAGCAGUGGGGAAUUUUGCGCAAUGGGGGAAACCCUGACGCAGCAACGCCGCGUGAGUGAUGAAGGCUCUUGGGUCGUAAAGCUCUGACAGAGGGAAAGAAGUGUAUGGUGGUUAAUACCCAUUGUACUUGACGGUACCCUCAAAGGAAGCACCGGCUAACUCCGUGCCAGCAGCCGCAGUAACAC
rnacentral:rRNA from 1 species